UGCCACAUAUACCACAAGGUAAACUCUAAUACUUUAGAUAUUCUUUUUUAUAUUAUUUUAUCUUUUAUUAUCUAAUAUAAUAUUCUUUAUGAUGUCUUGAUACUCUCAAGUUUGGAUGAUGUGGGGUCAUCAGUGAUCCCACAGUCACAUGGAGCCAUGCCCGACUCUCAGAGUCAGAGGCAUGGUAGAGGAUCCAUCCGGCUCGUGGUACC
rnacentral:lncRNA from 1 species